AUUGAACGCUGGCGGCAUGCCUUACACAUGCAAGUCGAACGGCAGCACGGGAGCAAUCCUGGUGGCGAGUGGCGAACGGGUGAGUAAAGUAUCGGAACGUGCCCAGUCGUGGGGGAUAACGUAGCGAAAGUUACGCUAAUACCGCAUACGAUCUAUGGAUGAAAGCGGGGGAUCGCAAGACCUCGCGCGAUUGGAGCGGCCGAUAUCAGAUUAGAUAGUUGGUGGGGUAAAGGCUCACCAAGCCGACGAUCUGUAGCUGGUCUGAGAGGACGACCAGCCACACUGGGACUGAGACACGGCCCAGACUCCUACGGGAGGCAGCAGUGGGGAAUUUUGGACAAUGGGCGAAAGCCUGAUCCAGCCAUGCCGCGUGCAGGAUGAAGGCCUUCGGGUUGUAAGCUGCUUUUGUACGGAACGAAAAGGUUUGGCCUAAUAAGCUGAGCUCAUGACGGUACCGUAAGAAUAAGCACCGGCUAACUACGUGCCAGCAGCCGCCGUAA
rnacentral:rRNA from 1 species